UCCUCCCCUUCUGGGCCGCGGCUGGAGCUCGGAACGCCUCGGCCUCCGCGUCUCUCUUCGCUGCUUUUUCUCUUCAGUUUUUUUUCAAAGGCGGGGCAGGGCUGGGUCGCGGCGCCCCGAAGCUCGGGCGGGUGGAAGGUUCACGUGUUAGGCUCUUCUCACCUGUCUCUCGCUCCCAUCGCCCUCCGGCGUUGCGCAGCCUGGAGGGACAGGGUGGGACACGCGGGGGUUUGUUUUUUCUCCGUGGUGUAAAUGCGUAUUAUGUGUUUUAAUAACUUUAUCGAUUUGGCGAACUCUCGUGAGAGCACCCGCUGCCUCCCUCCCAGCCUCUAACCGGCCUCUGGGCCACCUCUAACAGCUGAGCCCCGCAGCCCCUGAACACACACACACACACACACACACACACUCUGAGCUACCUCCAACGCUGGAGCCCCCAGCCCUUACACAUACACGCAAACAUUGGACCACCUGCAACACACUUGAACCCCCUAGCUACACACACACACACACACACACACACACACGUACGUUGACGCCGGAGCAUUUAGCAUAGUUCUCUUGCUGCAAAGCAGGACCUCACUUUAGAAAAUGGAAAUUGCUCGGGAGAAGAGAACUGAGAUAGUUACAGCCCCAGGAAAUGGAAACGAAAGCAGAAUGGAAGGAAGUGAGGCCCUCAUCCUUGGAGAUAUUAUGGAGUCUCCACAGACACUCCUUGAAGAAAUCAGGUUGCUGUCAACAGAGCUAUUUGGAGUUGGGGGAAGGAGAGAUGCUUUGCUGAUACGUGAAGCCCAGAUCUUUCUGCCUGUGAUGCAACCUGGCACUGGUUCUGGGGCGUCCUGUGCUUCCCUCUAUCACAGGCUACAUCAUGACUCACACUGGGAUCUCUGAUUUGCUGGUGUCUGCCUGUCCACCUGUCAGACACCUCCUGGAGGGCAAAAAAUGCUAUGCCACGCAGACUUGGACAUGCAGAAGGUGCCCAAUGAAUGCCUGUGAGAUCAAUGAACUUGCUCCUGUAGAACACCGUCUCAAUUUGCUGGUGUGUCCCACCCUGGAAACAUCUCCUCAUAACCUGGUCUCUCCCUCUGUCCCUCUGCCACCAUGUUAAUAUUGCAAAUGAUGCUAUCUGGUGGCUUGUGUCUCCUGCCAGAGACAACGCCUUCUCCCAAAAAGUCCCACCCUUUUAAUGUCUGUGAGGGCAAGUUGGGAGAGGCAAAGCUGAUCCUCCUUGAAGCUUCGAUUUUUUUUUUUUUUAUCAUUAUACCUUGAGAAUAGUUUUAUGAACCUCUUGCUAAACCUGAAACUUGGUGUCAGAAUUACCAGUGAUCCUCUGAAAAAUGGAGCCUGAGGUGUCUCCAGGAGCGUGCUUGACCACUCCUAACAACCCAUUUUCCAAGCUGCAAAAACCAACAACUAGUCCUUAGGGUAGGAGCAGCUCUGGAGAAGGCACAGAAGCUUCUGACAUCACUUUUCACUAGUAUUGUGAAAGAAACAGAUUAACCCUGUGAAUGUGGCUACCGUAACCUCUGUGUUGACUGAGCUGAUUGGUCAAUGAGGGCAAGUGGGUAAAUGAAUACACACAUGUGUAUCAACAUACAUAAUAUAUACAUAUAAAAUUGAUAUGCAUAUAUACUUUCUUCUCCCUCUUGUAAAUGUUUUGUUUUAAACGUCUACUGACUCUGCAAAUCAUGUGGUUCCUUGCUGCACUACCAGGAAACACUUGAAUUAGUUUUUUUAAAAAAAUGUAUAAAAAGUGCCCCUUCUUUCAACCCAAGUCCCGUAGCGAAAUGUAUGUUCUUACAAUUUCAAUUGUAUCAUUUCUUGAUGAAAAGAAUACAGUGACAGAAUGGUCCCUGGGGAUCUAUCACCAAAGCAUAAUGACCUGAAGGACACUAAAGGCGAAAUACAACAUUGUGCAUUUCUUUUGUCCCAGAGUAGAGACCUGGAGCUGGAUGAGGAGAAUGGCAGAGCACCCUAUGGUAAAUGGGCUUUGUCCUAAGCACAAGUCCCACUUUGAAGUGCUCUAUGGAAGCUUCUAGAACAUUCACUGGUGGGGCUAUUGUAAUGGCUUAAAGGACUGAGGGUGUGCUAACAACCUCUUUGCUCUCACUCAAAUCUGUGUUGAGUGUCUUUUUCUUUGUCCCUCUCUCCGGAUCGAUCCUCUGCCUUUCUCCACCCAGUGCUGUGCUCUGGGAGGCAGGUCUUUGUGAUCAGUGGGCUCUCCAGGCCCUCUGGCUGGGUUUCCAUUUGGUUCAGGCCUACAAGGGACAUUGGAAGGAGAUCAGAAGCUAGGGUCAGGCUGCACUGUCAACUUAGCCAGCGUUUUCUUUGCCUCUGUCAUUUUCUCUCUCACUUGUUCUUUCAAUUCCUCUCAUCCCAUUUACCCUCUGAAUUUUGAACUCCCUCCCUUUCCUUACCUUCCCCCGCAGCAGGAGGUGGUACAGGCGCCCUGAAAACGGUAGCCCCAGCAAAUCUCACUUCCCCUUACGUUUUUCUUAUGCCUGGGGCUUUGUAAACAUGCCCAUGAUCAAAAUUUUCCUCACGUUGCCCAGGUGGACUCCUUCCUGCCAGGACACAAACGAUACAAAAUGUGUCAACCAAAUAGAAUCACAAGGGACUUGGUUCUCCUUGGGCGCUCCAGAGGUCCAAAUUGAGUAGACUCUCUUUGUCGUUCUUCAUGUCUCUCCUUGGACCCAAUGUACCGAAGAACAUGAAUGACCUUCACACUCUUCCUGGAAGAGACAAAGCCAGGGUCAUAAAAACCUUAUCAGGGCCUUUCUUCCCUCCCCACUGACCCACCUCCUUUGAACCCCUGGAUCAGAGCUCAGCUGUGCAAAAGAGGGAACUGCUAGACUAAGAGUCAGGAAGCCUGCAGGCAAGACCUAGGAUAGCUCCUUUCCCACCCUUUGAAUCUGGGUCACAUACGUGCUUCCUCCGAGGGGUCAUUGGUCAAGUCAAACUGACAGCCCAAGCUUAGUUUCUCAUCAGGCUGUCCAAGGAUUUGCAGGAUAGAUUAAGACAAUUUAAAAUUUGUCAUGCUUGUGCUCUUGUUUGAUUGGCUUCCAGCCUCCUCAGCUAGGCUAGGAGUUCCUUAGGUCAGGAACCACGUCUUGUGCCUAGUUCUCUAUUCAUCCACAGGCUCUACCCCAGGUCCAUGCAUUUGGGAGCAUACGAUGUAGGCAAAGGAUUUCCACCUAAAAAAAAUUACUUUUCUAGAUUAUCCUAUAGCUAGGAAUAGCCAUGCAACUCAGUUCUCACUGAUAAGAUGUAAGCGUUUCAAUGCUACCAUCGAUUCCUGCUCUUUUAAAAAAAUACUGCCUGGAAUGCAGACAUGAUGGCUUGAACAUUAACAGCCACCUUGGGAAGGUAAAGUGACAAGCAAGAAGGAAAAGAUAUUAGAAUUGCUGAGAUGCUAGCUUUUAUAUAACUAAGCCACUGAACUAACACAAGCAGCCAACUGCCUCUACAGUUGUGUGUGUGUGUGCUUGUGUGUGAGAGAGAGAACAUUAACCUUUGUCUGAGCCACUGUACAUUGAUUGCUGCUUGUAGCCAUAGGUGUUCCUAUCUGACACAGUGAAUAAGAUGUUAGAAUAACUUCAUCUUCCCUCACACUCCAUUUGCUUUGUAAGUUGAAAUCUGUGUACCACACACUGUUCCUUUAAAUGAGAGGCCUCCACUGAGAACCCAGUCAUGGCUAAGACCCAUAACCCCUUCCCAUCCUCAGCAACUCCUGGAGUUUCUUCAGAGCAGACGCCAUGUUGGCAUUUGUAUCCCUAGAUACCCACGUCACAUUUUUCACACAACUGGCAUUCAGUAAAAGACUAAGGCCUAAAGGAAAAAAAUAAUAAGCUUCAGAAGUUCCAAAGAGAGUAUUAGCAGUAACUACCAUUUGUUGAGAGACGAAUAUAUGUGAAAUACUUUCUGAUCAUUUUUUCAGAUACACCAUAUCCUAAAGAAGUUUUAUUCCCAUUUUGUAGAACCCUGGAGCUUUGUAAAACCCUAGUGCUUAGAGAAACAGGGACAUUCCAAGCCAGGGACUGUGCAAUCCAAAGCAGGUCAAGAGCAAGCACGGGGCAUAUAAGGGGGAAAUGCAAGUAGCUCAGCUUUGCAAAAGAAAGCGUACAAAGUGGAGAGUUUAUAGACUAAUUUGUCCACAAAUAUGGCCAAAUCACUCCACAAACUCAUAAUUUGGCCAAGAUCUUGAGGCUUACGAAUGACAUAGGGCACAUGUAAAUCUGUCCCCAAACUCUGCUGAGAUGUCUUCCCUGCUUGACCUCGAUCCUGUUUAGAAGCCAGUUUGCUUUUCUUGUUUCAGCAUCUGAAGACGCCAGCAGACCCAGCCAGGUGUUGAACCUGCAUUUAAGCUGACUGUGUUUAAACCUUCAAAGUAUCUAUUAUUCAAUCCAUGAAGGGUUCAGAGGAUGGUGGUUUGGAGCUACUGAGAAAGUGUCUCUUUCCACUCUCUAAUUUGCAUGCUGGAUGUCUAUUGAAAGUUGCUAUGGUGAUCCGGUUGGCCAGAAGUUUCCGCUGAAUCAUCCCAACACAUAUAAACAUAAGUGUGGUUUGAGGACCUAGAGCCCAGCAGCCAGGGGAGAUGUCUCCAUUUUUCACUUGUGACUCACUCGUGGUCAUGCGUAGGCCCAGCUGUGAGGAAGGUGAAACCUCCGAGUCAGGUGUAGCUCCCAGGGGAGGUUCAGCCCAGCAGGACACAGUGAAAUUGCCCUUGGGGAAUCUGAAGGCCCAAGAAGGAAAUGGAAACCUGCACCUGGGCAGUGCCUUGGCCCACUGGGUCCUUCUGCAGAUGCAGGUAUUUUAAGUAAAUGUCUCAGUUUGGAGACCCCAAAAGGAAAGUCUGCAAUAAGCACUUGCGGUCAGGUAGUUUAUCUGGGAACUGAACUGGGAAGUAGAAGGGAAGGAGUGGUGAUUCUGAGAGAGCAAGGAGGAAAAGCCAAUAGAAGGAUGUGCUGUCCAGGUGGCUGCUGUGGGCGGAGAUCUGCUUUAGGGACAGCAUCUAGAGGAAUUGGUGACAAAACACAGUGACUUGGAGCAGGCUGCCAGAGUUCAAAUCUUCUCUCUGCAAACUGCAGUGCCUAGAGGCCUUGCCGCAGGCCUCGGCAAGUCAGCCUUGACACUGACUUCUCUAUGCCUAGAACUGGAGGAAAGAAUACCUUGCAAGGCAUAAAGGAUGCGCACAGUGGAGCCCAGCACAGAAUCUAGUAUAGCCUCACUCCAUUUAGGCUUCUUUCUAUUUCCUCUUUAUGAAAGAGGUUCAGCUAAACAAGGUCUGCUAUUCUUGGCUGUGGACCAGGCCCCAUAGCUUAUGACUGAGUCCUCAAUUUAUAUAACUAAUGAUUUGAGCAGGACUCCCAAAAGUUGCCCUUCAUCUUCUCCUUGGAAGUGAACUGGAUUUGGCAUUUGCUGUUCUUUGACAUAUGUACUGUGUAACUAGGCGAACAUGCAUAUGGUUAUCUUUACAGAUAAACAAACGUAGAUAUGUAUACAGAGUUGCCUAAUUAGUCCCUUGUUCGCUACUUGGGAGACUUUUGGGGGAUACCCCUGGGUCUGAACAGGAAUUCAGAGUUGUGAAGGGAAAAAAUUCCAAGGCAGGCUGUUAAAAUGCUGUUAAAAGAGAGACACCGUUUUUCAAAUGGAUGUAGAUUUUUUUUAAAACUGUGCAUCACAUUACAUUAGCGACAGUGUAGAAAACAGAUGCAACUUUCCUAGGAAAUAACUUUGUCCUAUCAAAUCCCUAAAAUAUUUGUACCCUUUUGCCUAGCAACCCAAAGUUUUUAUGUUUAUCUUAGGGAAAUGAUCAGAUAUUCAAGAAUCGUGUACACGGAUACGGAUCAAAGCAGUUGGUACAUUACUGAAAAAUUGAAAAGGAUCUUAUUGGCCCCAAAUAAGCAAAAUAAUCUAAUACAUUAUGUUUAUAAUCAUGUGAUUAAAUGUUAUGUGGCCAAUAAAGACAUUCCUUCAAAGAGUAUUCAGUGACUCAGAAAGGUAUGGAUUGGUAUAUUAUGAAGUGGAAAGUAGGAUAUUAAAUCCUAUAUGGAAGUAGGAUAUAAAAUGUACAUUCAAUCUGAUCCCAGUUCUCUUAAAAAUAUUUUUAAUUAUACAUUUGCAUAUGUGUGUAAAUAUGUUCGUACAUGCAUUCCAAUAAAUAACUUGAAGGAAAAUCCUAUUGGCAGCCACUGUUUCCAAGUUAUCAUCACCCAUAUGUUUAUUUUCCGUUUUUGUAUUUUCUAAAUUUUCUGUACUAAGCAAAAAGUACUGUCAUAAUCAGAAAAAGAAGUAAUACAUUUGAUUUAUAAAAAUGCCAAAGAACGCAAAUUAUAGAAUCCUGGUCAUUUUUCAUUAGCAAAAUAUUUAUUCAAAAUGCAGUUUGGAUCUGCCCCAAAAAGGUGAGGAUAGCUGCAGUGUGGUUACAGGAAAAGCUGCUUUGAUGCAUGGCCUCUGAUUCCAAGGAAGGAACAGUGAGAAAGACAGCCGGGUGGAUGUGGCAGGAGGCGAUCUGUAAUUGCCUUGAAUGGCAGCUGUCAGAAGACCACGUGAAAAGUUGCUUAGUCUCCGGAAAACUCAGAGUGUGUGGUCCACUACAGUGCCUGCUGUCACUUCCUACCUUUGCGGGUAUAUCUUUGACUGUGCAUAGAGGUUGAAAACUACAAUCUCUUAACCUGCUGACCUUAAUAUCAUCUCUAAAUUCUCUCCUUUGAUGGCACCUCCAUUCCCACACCUCUCCUCUCUUCUCUUGUGGCCCCAAGUCUGUGUUCUCCAGCUGGGACCUUUCUCACGAAAUCUAGUCCUGCAUUCCCAAGAUAUCACAGAACUUAGCUGACUGGGUGCCUUGUGAGUUAUGGAGGGGACAGCAGGCACUGUCACCAUAACAGAACUCUCCUCUGUGGCCCAGAUGCAUUUCUUCUCCUGCCUUUGUUUUACAUCAGUAAGAAAAUUUUUCUUGAGUCAUGGAUGAUUUUGAGAGUUCGAGGGAGUUUAUGAGACCUUUGCAGUAGGAGUUUGUACAAGACAUCGUUUCAUUUGGGGGCCUGUGAAGACCCUAAGGGGUCUGACACAUCAAGUUAAUCAUCCUGCUUCAGAUCAGCCUGCUUUCCACAGCAGCUGAUGGAAACAGAGCACUUACUGCCUGCCAGGCACUGUGCGGGGUAUAGUGAGCACAUUAUCUCAUUAAACAUUUGCAACAGCUGAGUUUUCAACAAAGAAGCUGAGGUCUAGGGAGAGGAUGUACAUUUGUCCAAACAACGCAAUUUGUUUCUAGCAGGCUGAAUCUGAGCCAUCAUCUAUCUCAGACCACUGAAACUCUCAACCACCCUGCUUGUAGCUCCUGUUUGAUGCACACUACCCCCACAACCAUAGAUGUUCAUUUAAGUGUUUACCAGUAUCUCCAACUGCUCAGAAACUGGCCUGAAAAAUAUUCUUCCUCACACGACUGAUUCCCAACCUAGGCAUCCAAGCAGAGAUACCUCUGACUGCUGAAUAUUGAUUCUCU